rnacentral:misc_RNA from 1 species
UCGCUAUGUUGGCCGUUCGCAGCUGUUCAACGUUACGACGAACCAGGAGUUCGUGAACGGGCUCUCGAUCGAGAUCACCGAGGAGGGCGUCGAGACGACGAUCACGACCCCGUUUGAACCCGAGCGGCGCCGCAGGCUCACGGGCGACGCUGUCGAGGCGCAGUCGAUGCGCCGGUACUUCCUCGCCCUGGAGCAGGAGCACCAUCGCGCCCGCCGCAUGGCCGGCGAGUUCGCGUUCUUCAAGCCCAAGGUGCGCAAGAAGCCCAGGCCGGCGCCAGUGUGCGAGGCCUGUGGCGGCCGCGGCGGCAACGAGGACGAGGAUGGCAACUGGGAAGACUGCACGCGGUGUGCGCGGUGACCAGACAUCUGGAGCACUCGUAUGGAAUCACAAGGUCUGGGGCGUAAGCGACGUGCCACAGUUCCCGCAAAAGCGAGUGCCCGGCGUAUUCGAUUGACCGCACGAGGGACACGUCACACCGGCGACACGCUUGGUCGAGG